rnacentral:rRNA from 1 species
GACGAACGCUGGCGGCGUGCUUAACACAUGCAAGUCGAACGGAAAGGCCCUGCUUUUGUGGGGCGCUCGAGUGGCGAACGGGUGUGUAACACGUGAGUAACCUGCCCCUGACUUUGGGAUAACUUCAGGAAACUGGGGCUAAUACCGGAUAGGAGCUCCUGCUGCAUGGUGGGGGUUGGUAAGUUUCGGCGGUUGGGGAUGGACUAGCGGCUUAUCAGCUUGUUGGUGGGGUAGUGGCUUAACAAGGCUUGGACGGGUAGCCGGCCUGAGAGGGGGACCGGCCAAGUUGGGAAGGGGAUACGGCCGAGACGCCUACGGGGGGCAGGGGGGGGGAAUAUUGCAGAAUGGUCGGAAGCCUGAUGCAGCAACGCCGCGUGCGGGAUGACGUCAUUAGGGUUGUAAACCUCUUUCGCUAGUGACGAAGGGUGAGAGGGUAUAAUGGGAAAAGAAGCCUCGGCUCACUACG